rnacentral:lncRNA from 1 species
UCUGCCCCCACUUCGCCAUCUCUGCAGCUACAGGACAAGAACGCUAACAACCACACACAUCCUCACUGCCCAAGCCCCGCCCCCGUAGAGAACGGCAACCAGAUCUCCAACGGGUCUCUGGAGGAUGAGAGUCACAGCAAGUCCAACUCAUCCACCUCCAGCUCUCUGCACAGACACAUGGACAGCCAUCAUACUCAGGUGUUCCAGCGGUUACGUCUGUCCAACAGGGAUGAGAGUGCCACCCUCGGGGAGCUUCUGCGAUGGCGGCGAGCGCAGUGUGAGGGGCGGGGUGACUGGAAGCACCGUCCUCCUCAGACCCCGACCCUGCCCCCCACGCUGCUCUGGACCAACAGGAAGGCCUCUCCAUGACAGAGAUGACGUGAUGCCCUCACAUGUUUUGGCCCUGCUCUUCUUCUUUUCUUUUUUUUUAUGUGGACCAUGUGACCUCAAUGCCCAGGGGCUAGGUCGAAGCUCCAAGCCUCGUCCCUGGGCUGAAGGUCCUGCCUCCGCGCCUCUUGACCUCGACUGUGGAGGAUUCCUCAACCUUUUGUGGUAGAAGAUCAGCUCUCUGUAACACGGACACGGGUUGUCUACGAACGAAAUGUGGAAGUCAGACACAGUAGGGGUCCACGAGGUGCUAGUUCUGUGAUCAAAGAUGUUAUUAACAAAAAGAGACAGUCAGAUUAUUAUUUAUUUUCUGAGACCAUAUGUAUGAUGUCCAUCAAUGGGAGGCUGAUUUAAAGAUCAGACGAGCAGUGUUCUCAUAGUCAGAUAUUAAAUGGCCCUUUUAGUCUGUCUGUAUCACGUUGUUCUGCACACAGAGGAGUUCCACCCCAGAAUAUGGUGCUGAUUAUACUUGAUGUGCUUUCCGGGGAUUUUCCCACAAAUGCUUGUGUGUGUGUGUGUGUGUGUGUGCGUCACCGAGUCUCAGACCUCUCUGAAGUUUACAUGUCAACCGACGCCUUCGUACACCUCCAGUUUUUAGCAUCAGUGGACGGGCUUAGAUAUGGGACCUUUUCAUCAGGUACAGCUCUCACUUAGCUUCUCGUGUUUGGGCUCUUAAGUGCUACUGCGGCCCUGGCAACGAGCAACCAGGGGUCAGGGUAACCUCAGUAAUAUCCCAUGGUGCACUUCUCUUCCCCAUUGUUACCACCAGCCUUUGAGGAAUAAAAUCCUCCAGCUAAAAUGCAACCUACUGCGCUAACCUUUAACAAUCCCGCUUUGGUUUAAGGUAUGAAGGUAAAAGCCAAAACCACGUAGCUUUAGCUGACGGGUAAACGGUUCAUGUUGUGGACGUAAAACUCUGUGCCAAAGUGACACACCUUGUGAAGGAUAUGUCUAAACAACAAGUAUAGUUAUACAAUCAGACCUAUACAAGUAGUCCCCAUAUAUCGACAUGUACAGACUGACAUAAAUGACCAAAUCAUAGCUGUCACUGUGAUUCAGUGGCGAGUCAACAGUCUGUUUUCUAGAUGGAUCUGAAGAACAUGGCGAAAAGAGGAGGGAGAAACCAAGUCUACGUGUGAAAGGUAACGACUUGACUCUCACUGCGUCUCAACACCUGAACAGUCUCAUGUUGUUCAGGUCAUUGUGCAGAGCUCAGGAACUCGACCACUACAGACGCCUCCACCGAGGCACGGACCGACGUCACCUUCCACGUCCUCCCUUUAUCUGCUUUCACUCCCUUGACCCCGAACAAGCAGACCCCUUCUCCCCCCCCCACUUGGUCUUUGACCCUCCCCCCACCUUCCUAAUGGAUCAAACCGGCUCUACGGGUGUUUCCAUGGUAACCGCUUUGUAAAUAGUGACCAGUGUUGUAUGUUCUAGCUUUUACUCUCGCAGAAAAGCACAGGGAUUGAAUUAGAAGAUGAGGAGGAGAUGAGAUAAUACUGUCUAUGAUGGUGAAACUGAGAUUUAAGAAUGUCUUGGGUUAGAUGCAAUGACUAAGGUAAAGAGAAGAGGUUUAUUUUAGAAUGUGAAUAUCUUUUCCUUCUUCAGAAUGAUUGUUUAUGGUUAUGAAGUUCUUUAUACUCUAUUCAUUAUUAGUUGUUUUGUUCCCUGUUGACCCAGUUGUUAUGUUCCUAUGAUGCAAUGCAGAUGUUUUCAUUGUAUAUGGAUGUUUUAUUGCACAAUGUUUAUGUGGUGUCGUGUUGACUUCUUAAUGGGCUGGGCGUGUCUCGACAAGCUGUUUGAUCUGCGAAGAUCGUUUUGGAUUGUUAGAGCCACAAAGUAUCAAUAGCUCCGAUUGAUUUCUCAUUCCCACUGAUCACCCACAAUGUGUCUGAUUGAUUCAGCCUUUACGAAUUAGCGGCCCCAUCACAGGGUCGAUCUCGGCCGCUGUCGGUGCGCCCGAUAUUCAAGAGGAAUUGGAGAAGAUCGACGAUAUUCACGAGAGAUGGCGACUCGGCCGAGCUGCGUUUCUUUUUUGACUGACUGGCUGAAUGUAUAAAUGCAAAGUUUUCAUCCACCGCCUGAAACCCCGUGUAACUUAUUACUGGAACAUGCGCCUGUAGCUAAACGGUGUACCUGACUCCUUUUUAAAUGUGAUUAUUGUCUUCAGAAGUUAUGUAUGCAGUUCUGUUUUUAAAGCUUGUUAAUAAGGAUGCGGCAUUUUUGAUAAAAGUAUUGAUUUGCGCCACACCUCGAUUCACACCUUGUGCGCUGCGAUUGGGAUUGCAUGAAUAGUGCAGUACUGCAAUGCAGAACUAUGUCCAACGUUUUCAUCAUAGUAGUUUUUUUUUUUUUCGGCUCACUCACACGAGGAUUCAAAAUGUAUCUGUGAUCAAGCAAAACAGAAAAGGAACCAAGAUCAAGCUACUCAACCUUGCCAAUGCCAAUGAAAGAGAAUGCAUAGCCUCUCUAUUGGUCCUUUUAUUAUGAUCAGGGUUCUGGUUGCUCGUGUGCAUUAUGGAUUUAUCUUUUGCCAUGUUUACUGAAAUCAUGAAAUGAGGAGAUGAAUGUUUUUUUAAUUAAUUUUUUUAAAAGCACAUCAGUGCUUUUUUACCUUGCAUGGCCACAUGUUGGGCCCGGCCCUUUUUAUAAUGUGCUCAAGCUGAAAAGGUCCAAAAGGCUGUCUAAUGUGAAGAACUGCUUCUCCCUGCACUGUGAAUCAUUGCACUGUCCCCCGUUUAUCCAUCUACGUCCACCUUUUAACCGGACCGAUCUGCGCACAUAAUCGGCUCCAUCACAUCCGAUGCCCUGACGUGGCUCAGUCUGUUGUAAGCGUUACUUCACUCCGGAGUCACUGCUCUGAGAUCAGCUCUCUGGUGCUACAGCCAGUGCAGAUUGGCCAUCUUAUUGUCCCCAGUCCAUGUAUAGUUGUUUGGAGACACAAUAUUUAAGCACCUAAACAGGGGCAUCUCACUGCCUAUUCAUAGUGUUGUUUUUUCUUUUCUUUUUUUUAAAUUGUAGUCUUUCUUUACACGACAUCCAAUAUAUUUUAACCGGCAUACAUACGUGUUUGUGGAAAGAAAAAAAAAAAAAAAAGAUUGUAUGUGAUAUUUCAUCAUUAUUAUGUUCCCAAUGUUUUAUAAG